rnacentral:rRNA from 1 species
CCUACGCGUGGCAGCAGUGAGGAAUCUUGGUCAAUGGGCGCGAGCCUGAACCAGCCAAGUAGCGUGAAGGAUGACUGCCCUACGGGUUGUAAACUUCUUUUAUAAAUGAAUCACGUGAGGCACGUGUGCCUUUUUGUAUGUACUUUAUGAAUAAUGAUCGGCUAACUCCGUUCCAGCAGCCGCGGUAAUACGGAGGAGCCGAGCGUUAUCCGGAUUUAUUGGGUUUAAAGGGAGCGUAGAUGGGUUGUUAAGUCAGUUGUGAAAGUUUGCGGCUCAACCGUAAAAGUGCAAUUGAUACUGGCAGCAUAGAGUACAGUUGAGGUAGGCGGAAUUCGUGGUGUAGCGGUGAAAUGCUUAGAUAUAACGAAGAACUCCGAUUGCGAAGGCAGCUUACUAAACUGCCACUGACAUUGAUGCUCGAAAGUGUGGGUAUCAAACAGGAUUAGAUACCCUUGUAGUC